rnacentral:rRNA from 1 species
GACGAACGCUGGCGGCGUGCUUAACACAUGCAAGUCGAACGGAAAGGCCCUGCUUUUGUGGGGUGCUCGAGUGGCGAACGGGUGAGUAACACGUAAGUAACCUGCCCUUGACUUUGGGAUAACUUCAGGAAACUGGGGCUAAUACCGGAUAGGAGCUCCUGCUGCAUGGUGGGGGUUGGAAAGUUUCGGCGGUUGGGGAUGGACUCGCGGCUUAUCAGCUUGUUGUGGGGGUAGUGGAUUACCAAGGCUUUGACGGGUAGCCGGCCUGAGAGGGUGACCGGCCACAUUGGGACUGAGAUACGGCCCAGACUCAUACGGGAGGCAGCAGUGGGGAAUAUUGCACAAUGGGCGGAAGCCUGAUGCAGCAACGCCGCGUGCGGGAUGACGGCCUUCGGGUUGUAAACCGCUUUCGCCUGUGACGAAGCGUGAGUGACGGUAAUGGGUAAAGAAGCACCGGCUAACUACGU